rnacentral:rRNA from 1 species
GGUUAAUGCUGGGAGGAACCCUGGUACAGGCAAAACGAGCGAACGAACUAGGGGCUUGCUCCUCUGCCGGUAGCGGCGGACGGGUGGGUAACACGUGGGUAACCUACCUAUAAGACUGAGAUAACUUCGGGAAACCGGAGCUAAUACAGGAUAAUAUAUUGAACCGCAUGGUUCAAUAGUGAAAGACGGUUUUGCUGUCACUUAUAGAUGGAUCCGCGCCGCAUUAGCUAGUUGGUAAGGUAACGGCUUACCAAGGCAACGAUGCGUAGCCGACCUGAGAGGGUGAUCGGCCACACUGGAACUGAGACACGGUCCAGACUCCUACGGGAGGCAGCAGUAGGGAAUCUUCCGCAAUGGGCGAAAGCUUGACGGAGCAACGCCGCGUGAGUGAUGAAGGUCUUCGGAUCGUAAAACUCUGUUAUUAGGGAAGAACAAAUGUGUAAGUAACUAUGCACGUCUUGACGGUACCUAAUCAGAAAGCCACGGCUAACUACGUG